UACGUGGGUGGCAAGCGUUGUCCGGAAUUAUUGGCGUAAAGCGCGCGCAGGCGGCCUUUUAAGUCUGAUGUGAAAGCCCACGGCUCAACCGUGGAAGGUCAUUGGAAACUGAAAGGCUUGAGUACAGAAGAGGAAAGCGGAAUUCCACGUGUAGCGGUGAAAUGCGUAGAGAUGUGGAGGAACACCAGUGGCGAAGGCGGCUCACUGGCCCAUUACUGACGCUGAGGCACGAAAGCGUGGGGAGCAAACAGG
rnacentral:rRNA from 1 species